rnacentral:lncRNA from 1 species
UUUUAUUGUUAAUUAAGUUUUGCGUGUUUAACUUCAUUUAAUAUGUUAUAUACAGUCCAGUCAGUUGAAUCAACAAUUAAACCAACAAGAAACAGGCAAGUAUUCAUACAAGUGGUAAAUUGAUUUUUGUGACGUUUUUACUCCUUUAAAAAUUAGAUUUUCCUAACAUAAUAAUUAAAUUAAUGAAUAUUUCUGUAAAGAUUAUUCUGUAACUAAAAAGUGUAAUUAUUUUAAAACUAAUAGUUACUUUUUUAGUAAUCACGAGAUAAAUUGCAAACUCUAUUCUUUUAGAUAUGAUUGUAACAGUUGAACAUUUGUCAGAUAUUUAACUUUUAAAUCAUAAUCUAAUUGCUCAGGCUUAUGAAAAGCUAUUUAUAAAAUGUCAACGCAUAAAAAGUAAUGAAAAAGAUUAAAGAUUGUUAUGAGGAUUGCAAAAGUUUAAAAUAACAGAAACUGAAUUGAUAAUCAGCAGAUAACAAAAAGCGCAAAAGUACUGAUUAUACAAGUCUUUUAAAGUUAAACCAUCACCACUUCCACAGCCACUUCAAGCGUUCAAUUGCAUUCUAAGAUAUCUUUAUUCAAAUCAAGUGUGACUGCUUUACCAAAAGACUGUAGAAUGGACCAAUUAAAAAUGAGAUUAUAUAACUUCGGUAUCAGCAAUACGGUAUCGUGCAUUGGUUCCCAUCUACGAAUGGCUCACUUCUGUAUAGGUGGAAAUAAGUAAGGUUAUGUUCUAUUUUCUAAUUCUUAAGACGAAGAGGUUUAAUUGGUUUAAGUAAAGAUGACGAUGAUCAUUAUCGAGUCGAUCAUGAUGACAAAUACGAUAAUGCAUACAAUAAUAAAUAAAAUGA